rnacentral:rRNA from 1 species
UACGGGGGGGGUAAGCGUUGUUCGGAAUUACUGGGCGUAAAGGGCUCGUAGGCGGCCAACUAAGUCAGACGUGAAAUCCCUCAGCUUAACUGGGGAACUGCGUCUGAUACUGGAUGGCUUGGAUUCGGGAGAGGAAUGCGGAAUUCCAGGUGUAGCGGUGAAAUGCGUAGAUAUCAGGAGGAACACCGGUGGCGAAGGCGGGUCUCUGGGCCGUAACUGACGCUGAGGAGCGAAAGCGUGGGGAGCGAACAGG